AUGACUGCCUAUGGUCGACUUACGACACAAUCCCAAACUGGGAUGAAAUAUCUGCAACAUCUGUCGUCCAGAAUUAUGUCACUGAUGUGUACGACGUGCCAUCAGCUGUUAUGCAAAAUGCAGCAACCUUACACCCCUCCAUUCCUAUUCGCCGAUUCUUUCUCAGGCUUUGUACAAGGGUUGGCAAGUUAUAGUGUCUCACUUGUUGCUACAGAAAAUGCAACUCUUACACCUAUCCUGAAUGCCAUGGAGAUGUACUUGGUGGAACCGAUAACUGAGGUCGCUACUGAUAGUGGAGAUGCUAGAGCCAUGAUGUCAAUCCAGGAGAAUUUUGGCGUGGAGAAAAACUGGAUGGGUGAUCCAUGUGCUCCAAAAGCUUUUGCAUGGAUAGGAUUAACCUGCUCCUAUCCUCCAGCUCAUGCCUCUAAAAUAACAGCAUUAAAUGUGUCUUCCUUUGGGUUGGCUGGUACCAUCUCUACUGAUUUUGGAGAUCUGAAUGCACUUCAGUACCUGGAUCUGUCAAACAACAACUUGUCUGGCACCAUUCCAAAUUUUCUUGGGCAACUUCCAUUUCUAAUAUUUCUGGAUCUGUCCAGCAAUGAUCUAUAUGGAACAAUCCCUGACAGUCUUCAAAAAUCCCAAAAUGGGACUCUGUCGUUAAGGGUUGGUAAUAAUGCAAAUAUAUGUGCCAAUGGUACUGCCUGUGGAUCAAGUCGAAAGAAAAUUAAUGGGGCACUUCUUGCUGCAAUAGUUAUUCCAAUCGUUGCUGUCAUUGCAAUAUUUGUUGUAUUAUUUCUUCUGCUACGCCAAAAGCUCAAGGGAAAAGAUAAGAGAAAAGCUACUGGUCCUGAAGAUGAAUCUGCGUUACUUGAGAACCGAGAAUUUUCUUACAGAGAACUGAAGUAUAUUACAAGCAACUAUAGCCAAGAGAUUGGCAAGGGCGGGUUUGGAGCUGUCUUCCUUGGCUACCUGAAGAACGGAAACUCAGUUGCUGUGAAAGUGCGUUCUGAUUCAUCUUCACAAGGGGGUAAAGAGUUUCUGGCUGAGGCUCGGCACUUGACAAGGAUUCAUCACAAGAACUUGGUUUCCUUGAUUGGCUACUGCAAGGACAAAAAUCAUCUAGCCCUUGUUUACGUGUACAUGCCCAAAGGGAACCUGCAGAAUCAUCUGAGAGGUUCUACUAGUAAACCACUCACUUGGGAGCAGCGUCUUCACAUCGCCCUUGAUGCUGCACAAGGUCUGGAGUAUCUGCAUAUCGCGUGUAAACCAGCAUUGAUCCACAGAGAUGUGAAGAGUACCAACAUCCUGCUGACCACAGAUCUUGGGGCUAAGAUUGCUGAUUUUGGCCUGACCAAGGCUUUCGGCGACUCGAAAACACAUAUAACCACUGAACCAGCUGGUACUAUGGGCUACUUAGAUCCCGAGUACUUCUGCAGUUAUCACAUCAGUGAGAAGAGCGACGUGUACAGCUUUGGCGUCGUACUCCUAGAGCUCAUCACAGGCCGUCCUCCUAUCAUCCCGGUCAGCGACAGCGUGAGUGUCCACGUCGGCGAGUGGGUGCAGCAGAGCCUUGACCACGGCGCCAUGGAGAGCAUUGUGGAUGCAAGAAUGGUUGGGGAUUAUGACAUGAACUCUGUCUGGAAAGCUGCUGGCCUGGCGCUGCAUUGCAAGCUAGAGGUCUCAAGGGAGCGUCCGACGAUGGCAGAGGUGGUGGCGCAGCUUAAGGAGUGCUUGGAGCUCGAGAACCGUCUUGACGGGAGGCAAAGAAGCUUGGGCUCGAACUUUCCUAGGGAGGGAAGUGCACUUGAGGCAGAAGAAGAACAACAAGGUGGGGAUAUACAAGCUGUUGCUGCUGGUCCUGCAAUGAGAUAG
rnacentral:rRNA from 1 species